rnacentral:snoRNA from 1 species
AUUCUAUGAUGUGGACACUUUCGCAGCAUAUUCUUGAACCUAUUCCAGGCUUCAUCGAAAUUCUCUAAGUUGCCUUGGCGGAAGGCAAAAAUGUCGUGCUUGAGUUU